rnacentral:lncRNA from 1 species
AUGAGGGAGGAGGCCCGAGGACGGCUGGGUUUGAUUUAUGACUGGAGAAGGUCCUCUGCCCACAGCGAGGCGGGCAGCCUGCUCUCCGCUCAGCUCGAGGAGAGAUCCGCGUGGGACCCAGCCCAGAGAAUGAAGUGUAAAACAGCAGAACGAGAGAUGAGGAAAACAGAAGCCAGACUGGUCCCCAGCCCGUGGUGCAGAUGGGGUGUGCCCAGGAAUGGUGGCUUUCACUGCUCUUCGUCCACCCUGCCGGAGCUGAAGGAGGGCAGCAGUCCUGUCCCGGAGGCAGGCGUGCGCGACCUCACUGCACACCCAGCUCUGCAGCCGGGCGCGGAGUGAGCAGUCAAAGGCUGCCUUACCUGCCCAUGUGGAGAAGGUGUUGGCUAAGGGACCCCAUAGCCUUUGUUGAGGGACAAUAACUACCGACUGUUACACUUCCAUUUGGAAAGAACCUUUAUAAAAUGCACUGCUUAACGUGGGACACUGAGGAAGGAAGAUCACUGGGAGUCCCGGCCCAGCUUGCAUUGCACAGCGAGAGCCUGUCUCAGAAAACCAAAAAUAAAAUGAAGUAAAAUAAAAUGCAUUGGCUAAAUAGAUACAGUACCAUUUUGGGGUAAUUACUACUGCUCAGGAAAGUAAGGGCGAGAACUUGAAGAGAAGCAGUGAGAGAGCUGAAAGGGGAGGCGCGGGAACAGCCCCUGGACCUGGGGCCCCUCAUGUUGCCUCUGUCUGGCUGCACAGCCUGCGGACCC